CCUAAAGCACAAUUAAACAACAGGUCAGAACAAAGGACCACCAGUCUUUCCUAAUCUUUUAAUGGAUUUAGUAGACAAAUACACAAGCACUAACACAAUCACUGUUAAAAGAGUCUCUAAACAAAGACAUGUCCAUGUAUGCAGUCAGGUGAAGACAACGGCCUAACACGAGCCCUGCCAGAUUAAGCGAAAGUGCUUUUUCUAAAUUCAAUGAAGUGACUUCAACAAAAGUUGAUUACCCAAAACAAUCAGAAGGACACCCAUUUAAACAGAGCUGAUGUGGUGGUGGUGACUGUGCAAAUGGUUGUAUAAUGCGUGUAAAUUGUCAACUGUUGCAAUAAAAUAUUGAUUUAGGCGGGGGCUUGAAGAGAGAUUGAAAUGAAAUGCAACUGACCUGGAUGAUGUGGAAUAACCUCCCCACUGUACUCUGAACUGCCACAUGAGCUGCUACUGGAUGUAGAGCCAAUGCGCCCUGAGAAGAAACAGUCUUAUAAGGCAAAUUCUCAGUAUAACAUCAACUUUUAAUGGUGCAUUUACGAUAACGGUCAAGGCUACUUACUUCUGUAGUAGUCAUGAGUGGCAACAAGAGAACCACUAGCUGGGAUGGCUGCCAUUUUACAGACUUGUGUAAAUCACCACAUCCUCACCUUCUUUUGCCCUCGUGCUGAUGUUAUUAAAGCACCCUGCUCGAUUCAGUCGGAGGCUUUGGGGAGAAAACGCUAGGCGAUGGGGCCCAUUUGAAAAGGUUUGGAUGGAUAAGACCCUCCACGUCAGGAAAUAACUACCGUUACCGCAAUGCUGUCUAACAAAAACAACUCGUUCGCUGUCAUUUAUACAGAUACGUUUAAA